CCUCGUGGGCAGCAAGACUCCGAAACCGCCCUGGUAGUCUCCCCUGCUUUGCCCCCGGCGGGGGGAAUAAUUUGCCUCAGACAGGCAGGUGACGAGGGGCACCGCAGAAGCGCCAGUAGCUGCUGCUACUGAGCAUGCGCACAGCGCACGGGCAUGCCCAGUGACAACUGAGGGAGCCCAAUCUGAUGGGGAGCAGAGUCUGGCACUCGGCAACCUUCGGCGGUUUCCGUGGGGGCCUGGCCGCCAUUUUCUCGUUGCAUCUCUCCGCUCGCUGGCUGCGCGGCUCCCUGCCCUGCUCUCCAGCGCUUUGUCUUGUUCGGCGAUGGACGGCAUUGUCACUGAUGUUGCAGUUGGCGUGAAGAGAGGAUCUGACGAACUUCUUUCAGGCAGUGUACUCAAUAGUCCGAACUCUAACAUGAGCAGCAUGGUAGUUACUGUCCAGAUCUCUUAUGAGACAUAAGCCUCUGAACAGAAAAUAUUGACUAACUCCCACAUCUUGUCUGGUGAGAUCUAAUGGACAAUCCUUCCAGCUGUAUCCAGAGCCAGGAAAUAUUUUUCCAGCUUUGCAAAUGAGAGGUCAGUACAGAUUCUUCAACCACGCAUAAUGUAAAUGAUCAACUAAGGUGUAAUUAAGCCUAAAAGGGAAACCAAGCAUUUUUCUUAUUCAGGUUAUUGACCAGGACUUCUUAAGGCUUAUAGGUUUGAAAUGUCAUUUAAAAAUAUAUUAUAGGUCAACAGACUAAUAGAUUCACCUCUAAUCUUUCUUCUGGCCUCUCUGCCAUUGAAUUUAUAUAUAUGUGAUAGUACUGACAUAAGUCAGAGUUCUGUUAUCACACUCAAAGCAUCAUGACUGUGAAGCCCUUACAAAGAGAAGAUAUAAUCUUUGAUCACUCUGUUUGUAAAGGAAGCAUGAUUUGGAACAGU